rnacentral:rRNA from 1 species
UACGUAGGGUGCAAGCGUUGUCCGGAAUUAUUGGGCGUAAAGAGCUCGUAGGCGGCCGGUUGCGUCUGCUGUGAAAUCCCGGGGCUUAACCCCGGGCGUGCAGUGGAUACGGGCCGGCUGGAGGCAGGCAGGGGAGAAUGGAAUUCCCGGUGUAGCGGUGAAAUGCGCAGAUAUCGGGAGGAACACCCGUGGCGAAGGCGGCUCUCUGGGACGGUACUGACGCUGAGACGCGAAAGCGUGGGGAGCGAACAGG